GGGAAUUGCUAAAACCAACCCAAAAAUUGAUUGCAACCCUAAAAGUAGACCCCAUAUUCAAUCAAUUGCAAACCUAACCUAAAGGGAUGUUAAAACUACUAUUUAGCUCUUGUGACCAAACAAAAAAAACAUAAAAUCAUUUUACUGUUCUGUCCUUCGUAAGUCUACACAUAACAAACAUAGUCUACAUAUCCGUAGACGUCAUACACAGUCUACAUUAUCGACUUAAUUUGUAGUCUACAUUGUAAUUUAAUCUAGUUAAUUAUGUUUAAAAAUAUAUAAAAUUAAUUUUUAUGAAAUUAUUAAUUAAUCAUCAAUGUAAACGUUAAUAUAGAGUUUAUAAACUAAAUUUGUAUAUAAGUGAACAACUAAAAAGAAUAUAUGUUGAUUUGGUAACCAUGUGAGAUAAUGUUUAUGGUUUAGUAAUAAAAUGUCACAUAACAUGAUGUAUCUUUAAAGGUUAGAUUUCUAGGGUUAGAUUUAGAUUGAAUUUUUUUGUUUGUUUAAAUUAACAUAUUAUUACUGAGUAGUUUAUAUUUUGUAAAUUUGAUAUUUGAUACAAUAAUUUCCUAUCAAACUAACAUUUAGGGUUUGAAUUUCGUGGUUUAGGGUUUGAGUUUUGUGGUUUAGGGUUUUGUAGACUUACGAUUCAGUCUACACGAACCAAACUUUAUUGGGGUAGACAGAAAAAGAAGUCUACUCUCAACGAUUUUAACCUAACCGGAGUUAACCAAAUUUAUUUCAAACCAAACAUUUUUUAAUCUAACCUAAAAAUUAACCAAAAUAGAUUUAACCUAACCAACGACAUAUAAAUACAUGUGAACAUUGGUAAAAAAAAAAAUAAGCGGCGCAAUGACAAAAAAAAAGAAAGAAAAAAACCCUAAGCGCCGUUGCUCUUUUUCUCUCUCGGAGGUGGAGGACUAGAGGAUUUCCAUCGAUUUCUUCACGCCGUUUCUGAUGCUUUUGGUGAUUUCUUGAAGCCGAUUAUUUCUACACUCGUCUUCUUUGUAGUCUCUUUCGUCAUUUGUCUUUUUUGUUAACCUUUUGAAUUUUUUUUUGUUUUCUUUCAGAUCUGAGCCGCACCGUUGCCUAUGUUCUCGUCCAUCUCUAUGCUUACGCUCGACCUCAUGGCGAAGGUAAAGUAGUCCUUGACUUCUUUCGUUUUGAUAACCUAACUGGUAGACUUAUCUCUGUUCUGUCUCUGACCUCCCCCAUUUUGUUGGUUUCGAAGGCUGACAGGUAAACAGAGAUCUGAGCCGGCCAAGGAACGGUGCAUCUUCACGUUCAACUUUCUGCUUCUGGUGACUCUCACGGCAAAGGUGAAGUAGUGGUUGACUUCCGUUUUAAUAACCUAACUAGUAGACUUCUAAGUUUAUCUAUAGACUUGUCGUGUAAAUGAAGACUUUUUUGAAUUAUAGACUUCUCUACCAGUUUAUGAUCCUUCUUGGUAUAUAAAGUAACCACCUUUACUUCUUUUUGUUUUAGAUCUUAGACCGGGACUUCUUCUCACGACUUGUUCUCACGUUAGUGGUGUUGUGGCGUUUCAUAUCUCCGGCGAACUAAAGUUGAACUCUGGAGACUCGGUGAUGAUAGAAGGCAGUUCCUUCUUGAUGCCCCAGAAACAUGUUGCCUCACUCGCUAUGAGCUUUGCAUAGUAGGGAUGGGAAGACUUGACAUCUACAUUAUAAUGAGACUCGCCAGCUGUGAUAUGGUGAGCUGGUCUAGUGAGAGGUGUUUAUGUGGUUCUUGUCUAAUGAUACACAAAAUUUCUGAAAGUAGUUGUUGUUUGUUUGUAGUAUUGUUACAUGUAUUUACUUCUGAGUUUCAGUUUACCAUACUUGUUGUAACAAACAUAUGUAAUUUGCUUGCAUCAACCUUCACUAUAAGUCCAAGACAUCAUGUUUUGUUGAAA